CCUACGGGGGGCUGCAGUGGGGAAUAUUGCACAAUGGGCGCAAGCCCGAUGCAGCCAUGCCGCGUGUGUGAAGAAGGCCUUCGGGUUGUAAAGCACUUUCAGCGGGGAGGAAGGCGUUAAGGUUAAUAACCUUGGCGAUUGACGUUACCCGCAGAAGAAGCACCGGCUAACUCCGUGCCAGCAGCCGCGGUAAUACGGAGGGUGCAAGCGUUAAUCGGAAUUACUGGGCGUAAAGCGCACGCAGGCGGUCUGUCAAGUCGGAUGUGAAAUCCCCGGGCUCAACCUGGGAACUGCAUUCGAAACUGGCAGGCUAGAGCCUUGUAGAGGGGGGUAGAAUUCCAGGUGUAGCGGUGAAAUGCGUAGAGAUCUGGAGGAAUACCGGUGGCGAAGGCGGCCCCCUGGACAAAGACUGACGCUCAGGUGCGAAAGCGUGGGGAGCAAACAGGAUUAGAUACCCGAGUAGUC
rnacentral:rRNA from 1 species